CUAAGAAUAUUGGACAAUGGGGCAACCCUGAUCCAGCCAUGCCGCGUGAGUGAAGAAGGUCUUCGGAUUGUAAAACUCUUUUAAUGGGGAAGAUGAUGACGGUACCCAUAGAAUAAGCACCGGCUAACUUCGUGCCAGCAGCCGCGGUAAUACGAAGGGUGCAAGCGUUGUUCGGUUUUACUGGGCGUAAAGCGUGUGUAGGCGGAUUGGUAAGUUAGAUGUGAAAGCCCGGAGCUCAACUCCGGAAUUGCAUUUAAAACUAUCAGUCUAGAGGAUAAUAGAGGAUAACGGAACUCCGAGUGUAGAGGUGGAAUUCGUAGAUAUUCGGAAGAACAUCAGUGGCGAAAGCGGUUAUCUAGAUUAUUACUGACGCUGAGAUACGAAAGCAUGGGGAGCAAACAGGAUUAGAUACCCUGG
rnacentral:rRNA from 1 species